AUAAAAGUAAGCUCCCUUUCUAUUGUUGUUGUUCUUCUUCUUAUUAUUAUUAUUAUUAUUAUAAAGGCUAACAGAAUCAUUAAGCAAAAUGCUUAGCAGUAUUCUGUCCAUCUUUACAGUCUGAAUUUCAAUUCCACCAAGGCCAACUUUGCCUUCUGUUCUUUUGGAAUUGGUAAAAUAAGUACCAGCUGAGCCACUUGGUCUGAUGUAAUCGACUUACCUGCUCCCCCAAGCUUACUGGCCUUAUGCCAAAAUUAUUAUUAUUAUUAUUAUUAUUAUUAUUAUUAUUAUUAUUAUUAUUAUUAUUAUUAUUAUUUGAUGCAAUUCAAAAAUUUAUAUAUUUCGCUUGCAUUUUGUCUAAAAAUUAUCAGCCAUCAUGGAACAAGUUUCGUUAAAGACAACAAUGAUAAAAUAAAUGUUUCAUUUUUAAAUACAGAUUGCUUCCUAGAACCUGCUUGAUUUAGUCUAGUUUUGGUGAGGUCUCUUUUUCUCUUUUUUGUCUGCUUUUUUCUUUCUUCCUUUCUUUAUUUAAAUUACCUUCACUAUAUAUUUCUUUUUAUUCUAUUUUUAUUCAACUACACACACAUGCACACACGUACAGACACACACACAUAUAUAUAUAUAAAUUAAGGAUAUCUACCAAACUUAUACUCACGUAUUAACUACGUAUUAUAUGCUCACAGACAUAAGUGAAUUCUGAUACACUGAAAUAUAGGUACGCUGGUAUACACAUGGCAAUUUGUAGAUCUGUGGUGCUGGGAGUCCUCAGUUGGUAUCUGGAUUGGUUGCUAACUUAUCAUGAGUUGUUAUUAACUUACUAUAUGUCUAGAGUGAGUUGUGACUUAUAUAUAUCUACAUUGAUUGGUAAGUUACGAGCAUCUCGUUCGGUUGGUAAUUUUCAGACAUUUAGAGUAGUUGAAACCUUAUAUAUCUAAAUUGGUUGGUUAAUAAUAAAAAGAAAUAUAUAGAUAUGUCAAAAAUCUGACCGAAAUUUAUAUGUAUAUUUAUCAAUGGGUACCUAUAAAAGAAUUGAUGAAGGAAUCGUAUAAUGUGUAUCUAAAUUUAUGUAAAUAUUUAUGUAAAUAUUUAUGUAAAUGGGUGCCGAUGUGAGAAUUGAUGUAGGGAAUUUAUGAAAAAUGUUCAGGCCAUUUGAAGAAUAGUGAACAAAGAUCAUACAAGUAUUAAUAUUGGUAUUAUUAUUCCUUUUGUGUGCAUGCUAAGAGCAAGGUACAUGAACAAAGGCCACGGCUGUUGCCAUGGGUACAAAAUAUGUGGGCACGCUUUUUGCAUUUGUUGCAGCUUCCAUAAGCAUAUUGCAGCUUUACAUAUUUCUUGGGAUCGGAGACAAAACUAUGGAAAGGGUUUUGGUAUCAUCUCUUUCUAUUAUUUCUUGGCUUUUACUCUCUUUUAGCUUAUUUUUACCACAAUAUCCACCACCACCACCACCACUACUAUUACCACUAUCACUAUCUUUACUAAAACUGUUGUUGGCUGUCGCUAUUAACAAAUCAAGCAUAUGCUACAGGUCACGGGGUUUUUGUUAUUAUCAAGGUCUCUUAUGGUACCAUAUCCUUCUGGUACCAUAUCUUUAUGGUACCAUAUCUUUCUGGUCUGGUUCGUUAACCUAUUAAACACUUGAUUAAAAUUUUUUUAAAAAGACAUUUGUAGAAAAAUAAGAAAUAUUACAUUAAACUAUAACAAAAAAAAGUAAAUAAAAAAAAUCAAGGGAAAUAUUUAAGAUCUCACCCCCGUGCAGCACCCAGGAACCAGUUCCAGUUCUUCAAAGACCAGCAUCAUCAACAAUCACAGACAACAAGGAAGGGAGACAACAAGCAGCAAAACAGAACGGACACCUUACCAUAAUAAAUGUACGAUCUGUCAUGAUUUUACUGGGAUAAGAACUUAACGCAAGGAACAAUGACAAAAAGACUAACAGCACAGAACAACAUCAAAUAUAUAUGUGUAUACACACUCAUGCAUCCAUUUAAACAAAUAAACUGAAAAGUGUUUAUAUAUAUAUAUAUGUAUGUAUAUAUUUAUACAUAUGUAUGUAUGUAUGUAUGUGUGUAUAUGUAUACAAAAUGAAAAAAAGAAAAAAGAUCGAUCUAUUGAAUCCAACUAAUAUAGCCGUGAAGAGGGCUCUAUGAUGAAAAUAGAGUCACUAAGAAUUCGUUUCUGGAGGUGACACCAAUCAUACUUUAUUUUUUUAUAUAACCGCUACACAACACUCAAAACAGACAACAUUCAAAAGAAUCCAGAAUCCAUUAACCCUGAAGGAUUUUUGUCAUUUAUUCAGUGUUCUGUGAACAUUUCUUUCUUUUGGCUACAUUUAUAUACGGCGGACAUUUUGUACAGUUUCAAACAAAAUAAUGCACUAUGUUUUUUAAAUAAAGACAUUUAGUAAAAAAAGAAAAAGAAUAUAUUAUCAAGUGCUCUUAUA